CUCUCUCUAAACACACGUUUCUCUUUUAACUUGUCUCUAUCGCCCCCUCUCCUCUGCAUCCUUCCCAAGGUACUUCAUUCUUUUCCUCCCUCUAAAUUUCUCCCUUAUUUUACCUUCGCUCUUUUCAGUUUUCAUGGUAUUUUAUUUUAGUUUUCUAGAUCUCACUUUCUUAGAUUUGUUGCAAUUUGUGAGAAUUAAAUUGAUUGUCUUUGUGGAGUGUUGGUCUGUUAGGGUUUAAGUUUUUGGAUUGAAGUUUAUCUAAUUGUAUUGAACUUUGUGUGUAAAGUUAUGUUCUUUUGAUCUAUAACUAAAAAAGAAUUUCUGUAGCAAAUAAGAAAAGAAACUGCUGCAAUACAAGAAUUACAGAUUGAUAAGUAGAGCUAUUAAUAAACAAAAACAAAAGGUGAAAAGCUCAUAAACCACCUGUACAGAAUUCUAAGAAAUAAAACAGUAACACAUUCAAAAAACAUAAUUAGCAUAACUGCCUAUAUUUUAUCUUGUCUUUCUGAAAACCCUUUUCAUGAUGAAAAUUUGGUUUCUUUAUUGUCAGUCAUAAUAUAAUAAAUGGAGCCCAUAAAAGCAUUUUUCUUCUAUUUCCCUUUGGCUGGAAGUCUUUUCUUAUUUAGAAAAGGGAAAACAAAAUUAUAAAUGGAUGUGUUUUUGUAGUGUAAGUUUAUUGAUAAAAUGCAGAAUGUAGUUUAGGGGAUUUUGGCUUGAUGAUUUUCUUUCUUACCCUUUGUUUCUAACUGAAUUUCAGAUUGACUGAUUGAUCUUCAUGAAUUCAACAACUACUGGACCAUCUACCGUUUCCUGCAAAUCGGGAAACAAGAACAUCUUCUUCUGGAUUCUUUUCUGCCUAUUNNNN
rnacentral:lncRNA from 1 species